rnacentral:tRNA from 1 species
GCUCAGUCAGUAUGGUGGAUAUGAUCCUCAGCUUGGAACCGAGUGGGUUCGGGUUCGAAUCCCGAAUAAGGCA